GGCCACAUCGCGUUGAAACACCGGUUCCAAUACGAUCACCGAAGAUAAGCAACGUUGAGUCUGGCCAGUAAAUGGGUGACCGUUUAGGAAUACCAGGUGCUGUAAG